UUAUUUCUUUUCAUUUUCUUUUAUCUUCUUUUACUCUUCCUCAUUUUGCUUCUCUUCCAAUUGCAUAGCUCUCUCUCUCUAUCCGUUUCAUCUCUCUCUCUCUCCCUCCAUCUCUCAUUCUCAAAACUCUCUUUCUCCUUUAUCUAUGUUUUUCCUCCUUCCCCAACCUCCAUAGCCAUGGCCUCAACCCACACUAUCGCCAACCCGCGAACUUCACCACCAUUGGCGCACCGUCGGACCGGCACCACCACCAUCACCUAUUUCUAUUAUCAUCUAGAACCACCAUCCACAAAGUGUUGUAGGUGAAGAAAGAGAAGAAGAAAGAAGAUGGAGGAGAAAGGAACAAAGUUAGAGAAAUUUAUGUUGAAGUUCAAAAGUUGGUUUUCGGCUUACUUUCGGCAUGCCAAAACCAUCCAUUCUGGGAAGAAGUGAGACAAAUAGGCCAUGUAAGAUGAAGUACGAAGUAAGUUGAAGAGAUUGGCGAAAGAAUGAAGUAAAACCGUUAAGAAUUAAGAAAGUUAUGGGGUCCGAAAGAUGGUUCGAAAAAAAUGUCCGAGACGGUAGGAAAAUAAUCUUAUUUUUGGUCAAAUUUUGGAGAUCCGAGGGCAUGCAAAAAGAGACGGAACAAGGCGUGUGAAUAGUGAACCAAAAACUAGGCCGUGAGGUGAAUCCAAUGAUAGAAAAAUAAGAUAAAACGGAGUUACGAUGAAGAAAAUACAAGCAUUUGAACGGGUGACAUUGAAACUAAAAUUCUGGGUCUCUCUGUCGUGCAUGCUGUGCUGUUAGAGAAGAUGAACUAAAUUUUUUAUCCAGUGUUUCUCGGCUCAUGGUGCUACGGUGCAUCCUAGCACAUUUAGGUUAAUCGAGUGGUCCUAUGACUUUGGGGAUGACCACCCUUAGGUUUUUCGACGUGUAGAAUCCAUUUUUGGGGUUAGAUCUUGCAAAAUUUGAGUCUAAGAUGAUGAUCAACAACUAAAAGUUCUAAGAGAAUCCAAUGGCAGAUCAACGGUGAGAUCGCGUCCGAUUGAUGUGAAAUUUCAGCAAGACGAUCAUGGAGCCAAGACGGUCAUAUCUUACGAUCAGAAUCAUAAAUCAAAUUCGGACGAUAAAUCGCUAGCAACCUAACAUAGUCUUGGCGAGAAAAUAAUUGAAGCUGAAAUGGAGUCGACGCUAACGUAGAGCUUUGGCUGACCUGAAACCCCGAGUAGAGCCGAAUAAAUUAUAUUAUUUUAUAUAAUAGCUAUUAAGGACUUUAUAAUUUCAUUUAAUGUUGUAUUUGGAUAAUUUUAAGUUUUUAUCUAUUGUUAUUUGGACGUUUGGUUAUGUACGAGAGUUGGAUUACCCUGUUAAGAUGUCAACUUUUUAGUUUAUUAAGUCAUUUUGUUUA